rnacentral:rRNA from 1 species
AAAAUGCACAUGCUGUGAGCUCGAUGAGUAGGGCGGGACACGUGGUAUCCUGUCUGAAUAUGGGGGGACCAUCCUCCAAGGCUAAAUACUCCUGACUGACCGAUAGUGAACCAGUACCGUGAGGGAAAGGCGAAAAGAACCCCGGCGAGGGGAGUGAAAAAGAACCUGAAACCGUGUACGUACAAGCAGUGGGAGCCUCUUUAUGGGGUGACUGCGUACCUUUUGUAUAAUGGGUCAGCGACUUAUAUUCUGUAGCAAGGUUAACCGAAUAGGGGAGCCGAAGGGAAACCGAGUCUUAACUGGGCGUUAAGUUGCAGGGUAUAGACCCGAAACCCGGUGAUCUAGCCAUGGGCAGGUUGAAGGUUGGGUAACACUAACUGGAGGACCGAACCGACUAAUGUUGAAAAAUUAGCGGAUGACUUGUGGCUGGGGGUGAAAGGCCAAUCAAACCGGGAGAUAGCUGGUUCUCCCCGAAAGCUAUUUAGGUAGCGCCUCGUGAAUUCAUCUCCGGGGGUAGAGCACUGUUUCGGCAAGGGGGUCAUCCCGACUUACCAACCCGAUGCAAACUGCGAAUACCGGAGAAUGUUAUCACGGGAGACACACGGCGGGUGCUAACGUCCGUCGUGAAGAGGGAAACAACCCAGACCGCCAGCUAAGGUCCCAAAGUCAUGGUUAAGUGGGAAACGAUGUGGGAAGGCCCAGACAGCCAGGAUGUUGGCUUAGAAGCAGCCAUCAUUUAAAGAAAGCGUAAUAGCUCACUGGUCGAGUCGGCCUGCGCGGAAGAUGUAACGGGGCUAAACCAUGCACCGAAGCUGCGGCAGCGACACUAUGCGUUGUUGGGUAGGGGAGCGUUCUGUAAGCCUGCGAAGGUGUACUGUGAGGUAUGCUGGAGGUAUCAGAAGUGCGAAUGCUGACAUAAGUAACGAUAAAGCGGGUGAAAAGCCCGCUCGCCGGAAGACCAAGGGUUCCUGUCCAACGUUAAUCGGGGCAGGGUGAGUCGACCCCUAAGGCGAGGCCGAAAGGCGUAGUCGAUGGGAAACAGGUUAAUAUUCCUGUACUUGGUGUUACUGCGAAGGGGGGACGGAGAAGGCUAUGUUGGCCGGGCGACGGUUGUCCCGGUUUAAGCGUGUAGGCUGGUUUUCCAGGCAAAUCCGGAAAAUCAAGGCUGAGGCGUGAUGACGAGGCACUACGGUGCUGAAGCAACAAAUGCCCUGCUUCCAGGAAAAGCCUCUAAGCAUCAGGUAACAUCAAAUCGUACCCCAAACCGACACAGGUGGUCAGGUAGAGAAUACCAAGGCGCUUGAGAGAACUCGGGUGAAGGAACUAGGCAAAAUGGUGCCGUAACUUCGGGAGAAGGCACGCUGAUAUGUAGGUGAAGCGACUUGCUCGUGGAGCUGAAAUCAGUCGAAGAUACCAGCUGGCUGCAACUGUUUAUUAAAAACACAGCACUGUGCAAACACGAAAGUGGACGUAUACGGUGUGACACCUGCCCGGUGCCGGAAGGUUAAUUGAUGGGGUUAGUUUUCGGACGAAGCUCUUGAUCGAAGCCCCGGUAAACGG